rnacentral:rRNA from 1 species
GACGAACGCUGGCGGCGUGCUUAACACAUGCAAGUCGAACGGAAAGGCCUCUUUCGGGGGGUACUCGAGUGGCGAACGGGUGAGUAACACGUGAGUAACCUGCCCUUGACUUUGGGAUAACUUCAGGAAACUGGGGCUAAUACCGGAUAGGAGCUCCUGCUGCAUGGUGGGGGUUGGAAAGUUUCGGCGGUUGGGGAUAGACUCGCGGCUUAUCAGCUUGUUGGUGGGGUAGUGGCUUACCAAGGCUUUGACGGGUAGCCGGCCUGAGAGGGUGACCGGCCACAUUGGGACUGAGAUACGGCCCAGACUCCUACGGGGGGCAGCAGUGGGGAAUAUUGCACAAUGGGUGGAAGCCUGAUGCAGCAACGCCGUGUGCGGGAUGACGGCCUUCGGGUUGUAAACCGCUUUCGCUCAUGACGAAGCUUUGUGUGACGGUAGUGGGUAAAGAAGCACCGGCUAACUACGUG